rnacentral:rRNA from 1 species
GGGGAUACUACGCGAAAGCGUAGCUAAUACCGCAUACGCCCUGAGGGGGAAAGCGGGGGAUUCUUCGGAACCUCGCGCGAUUGGAGCGGCCGAUGUCAGAUUAGCUAGUAGGUGAGGUAAAGGCUCACCUAGUGCGACGAUCUGUAGCGGGUCUGAGAGGAUGAUCCGACACACUGGGACUGAGACACGGACCAGACUCCUACGGGAGGCAGCAGUGGGGAAUUUUGGACAAUGGGCGCAAGCCUGAUCCAGCCAUGCCGCGUGAGUGAAGAAGGCCUUCGGGUUGUAAAGCUCUUUCGGCCGGGAAGAAAUCGUGGUUCUCUAACAUAGGGCAUGGAUGACGGUACCGGACUAAGAAGCACCGGCUAACUACGUGCCAGCAGCCGCGGUAAUACGUAGGGUGCGAGCGUUAAUCGGGAUUACUGGGCGUAAAGCGUGCGCAGGCGGUUUUGUAAGACAGAUGUGAAAUCCCCGGGCUUAACCUGGGAACUGCGUUUGUGACUGCAAGGCUAGAGUACGGCAGAGGGGGGUGGAAUUCCUGGUGUAGCAGUGAAAUGCGUAGAUAUCAGGAGGAACACCGAUGGCAAAGGCAGCCCCCUGGGCCUGUACUGACGCUCAUGCACGAAAGCGUGGGGAGCAAACAGGAUUAGAUACCCUGGUAGUCCACGCCCUAAACGAUGUCGACUAGUCGUUCGAAGCAGCAAUGCACUGAGUGACGCAGCUAACGCGUGAAGUCGACCGCCUGGGGAGUACGGCCGCAAGGUUAAAACUCAAAGGAAUUGACGGGGACCCGCACAAGCGGUGGAUGAUGUGGAUAAUUCGAUGCAACGCGAAA